CUGGCUGCACAGGCCCGUAUGUGGGUGUACGUCAUGAAUAGUAACCUCUGCUCCAACUCUGGGUCCAAAAGAGAGGUCAGGACAAUAGAAAGGCUUGGGAUUAUAGGUAUGCGGCACAACAUGGAUGGCUUUUUUGGUUUUCUACCAUGGGUUCUAAGGAUUCAGCUCAAGUCCUUGAAGCAAGACAAGCUCUUUACCAAUGGUGCUUUCUACCUCUUAUCCUGGUUAUCCAGCGGGCUCUGUCCCCACACCUCACUUACCCACCUCUGAGGUUAGUGUUAUUGUCCACCCUCUGUGAUGUAGACAGUGAGACAAAGGAG
rnacentral:lncRNA from 1 species